rnacentral:rRNA from 1 species
UACGAAGGGUGCAAGCGUUACUCGGAAUUACUGGGCGUAAAGCGUGCGUAGGUGGUGGCUUAAGUCCGUUGUGAAAGCCCUGGGCUCAACCUGGGAAUUGCAGUGGAUACUGGGUCACUAGAGUGUGGUAGAGGGUGGCGGAAUUCCCGGUGUAGCAGUGAAAUGCGUAGAGAUCGGGAGGAACACCCGUGGCGAAGGCGGCCACCUGGGCCAACACUGACACUGAGGCACGAAAGCGUGGGGAGC